UACGUAGGGUGCAAGCGUUGUCCGGAAUUAUUGGGCGUAAAGAGCUCGUAGGCGGUCUGUCGCGGCUGCUGUGAAAACCCGAGGCUCAACCUCGGGCCUGCAGUGGGUACGGGCAGACUAGAGUGAUGUAGGGGAGACUGGAAUUCCUGGUGUAGCGGUGAAAUGCGCAGAUAUCAGGAGGAACACCGAUGGCGAAGGCAGGUCUCUGGGCAUUAACUGACGCUGAGGAGCGAAAGCAUGGGGAGCGAACAGG
rnacentral:rRNA from 1 species